GGGAAUAUUGCGCAAUGGAGGAAACUCUGACGCAGUGACGCCGCGUGCAGGAAGAAGGUUUUCGGAUUGUAAACUGCUUUAGACAGGGAAGAACAAGGACAGUACCUGUAGAAUAAGCUCCGGCUAACUACGUGCCAGAAGCCGCGGUAAUACGUAGGGAGCGAGCGUUAUCCGGAUUUAUUGGGUGUAAAGGGUGCGUAGACGGGAGAACAAGUUAGUUGUGAAAUCCCUCGGCUUAACUGAGGAACUGCAACUAAAACUAUUUUUCUUGAGUGCUGGAGAGGAAAGUGGAAUUCCUAGUGGAGCGGUGAAAUGCGUAGAUAUUAGGAGGAACACCAGUGGCGAAGGCGACUUUCUGGACAGUAACUGACGUUGAGGCACGAAAGUGUGGGGAGCAAACAG
rnacentral:rRNA from 1 species